rnacentral:lncRNA from 1 species
AACAUGAGAGAACUAUAUGUUCAUUGCAUCUCCUCUAAUCCUUGAAAAUAAAAGAAUCAGACAGUCCCUGUAGAAAGAUCCAGAACCCGCUCAUCACUCCGAUCCAAAAAGGAAAACAACAAUUCAGUAGCUCAACUAAACAUAAUUGCAUUAAAUAAUAACCUCCUGCCUUCCCAACUCAAGAACAUGGAUUCUCUAACAGUUUCAAUCACACGGUCCUUAGUUGGAUUGCUCUAAACUGGAACAAGCACCCGUGGAAAACUGAAUAAGUCCAUACAGCAUGCAAGCCACAAAAUUAGUAUGCUCAGAGGGAGACUUUGAACCUUAAUAACUUUGAUAAGCUUUCUAUCCAAAAUCAGAGCCUUCGCCAACAUUGUUCUGGACAUACACCCAACCAGAUUCUUCAAAAUUCAUCCCUUCAAAGAAAAUACCAAGGCAAAUGAAACUGAUCAUAAGGCAACCGUCUAGUAUCUCCAAUAACAAGGAAGAUGACUUCGAACAACCCUUGUAGAGCCGAUGAGAAAGAGAUACAGUAAAUAUCUGGUCGACAGAUCAUCAUUCGCAAAGGAUCACAAUGCAAUUGGACAUGUAUAAGUUCAUGGCCCUAAACAGGUUUGCUUUAUUAAAUUUAGAUCAUAUAUACGAAGCAGAAGUUCACCCGUCAUACAUUAGGGUAUCAUAAGAGAUCAGAAGGGGUCCAUGCUCGCUAGAUAUUUUAAAACCUCAAACCAAAGCUUAUUCACUGCAGGAUUGUUGUCUGCCCCUUCAGUUUCACCGAUUUAAAAAUAAAUACAUAAAUUUGACAAACAUGGCAACCAAGCACCAAGUGUCUGCUCCUCCCAGCUUGACCAGCCAUGUCUGCUGACAGCAUACAUGAAACGGCCCAGCGUUGUGAAGAAUAAGAAAUGAGAGAAUCAGCAGAAAGGAGAGAACCGGUCCAAGCGCAAGCAAUGCCAAGGAAGUUAUGUCCAUAUGGCUGUCCGGUCAACAUCCCCAUGUGAGGCCUGAUCACAUAUACCAAUCAUGCAAACAGGCAAAAGCACAGCACAGUUCAUCUUUUCAGAAUGAGAUGCUAACAGUUUGCAAUGGAGUAUCACUUGGGCCCUUGCAGAAAAGCCUUCAUUGUCCCAUGGAUCGACGAGAACCUAAAAUAUUCACAAUUUAGGCCCCCAUGUGGCACCCUGCAUACCAAAAACAACCCAUCUCACAUAAAAAAACCCUCACUUGUAAACUGUCGAAUAUCGGCUAAGCAAAAAUCCAUACAGAUAUCUUAUUGCAACUAAGCAGACUUAGUACUCUCCUUUUGCAUCUAUGUCCAACAGAGAGGCCAUCCAAUGACAAUCCGCGAUCUUUUGUCAAACUUCAACCCUCAAAGCAUAAGUCGAGCUUGUUCUCCGCACACCCUAUC